UCUAUCGGAUUGGUUUUUCACCAGCAGUUGCUUUGCUAGGGCCUAAAAACGUAGAGAUCCUACCAGCUGAUCGACCACAAUUUGAACUCCUGUCAAAUUCUUCAGUAGUUCUAGACUUCUAGUUCAGUUGUCUUUUUUUCACCAAUUAGAUAAAACCAAGGGAUAAAAUGUCUCCCAUUGGAAUUCACCAAUUUUCCGGAAAAGUUCUAGACAAAAAUGUUUGCUUUCAGGCAUUAAAGUUAACAGAUCAGCUAUUGCUUUGGAUCGGCAUGGAAAGCGACCCAUCUUUCAAAGAUUUUGCCGUAGCAAUGAGCACGCCGUACGAAAAAUCACCCACAACAGUCAAGAUCUUAGGCGAUCCAUCUUCUCUUACGUCUUCAACACUUGCCAGCCGCUUAUCCAAGAGAUGCAAGAAACCUGUUUUUGUCAGCUUCAACAUUUCAGAAACUAAUCAAGAACUGUUCACCAAGAUUGAAGAACGAUUAUUAGAAGAAAUUAUGAUCUCCCCAGAAUUGUUCUGAUGAAUUCAACUGUGAAAUCUAGCUCAAUACAAGCAUAUUGUCUUUGUAUCUAUUUUUGUUACACAGAUUCUUUUAAGAUUUGAACAAAAACAGUAUAGUAAUAAUCAAGCAAAGCAGUAUUUAGGUUUUUAUGUGUCAGUGAAUUUAAGGAAAUGAGUUAAUCUAACAAUCCGUAACUCGAUGUAAAAUAACUUCCUACUACGACACAUGUGGUAUUCAAUUAACAGCCGUUUCCGUUUGACUCUUUACCUUUCUUUUCUUACAGGGAAAAUGAGAAACGACAGGCGUAAUACGACAAAGAGAGCAACAAACAAUUGUGACAAUAUUUUCUACAUAAAAUCUGGUACUCCACAAUCUGAUCAGACGGAACAAGACUAGGUAAGAAAUAUGAAAAUGGCCCAGAACAAGUUUCCGCCUCCUGCUAAAUAUGUAGACGGUUGCGUAAUGUUAAGCGACGUUCACAGUGCGCCAAGAUAUUAUUUGUAUAACGGUUGAAGGAAAACUAUCUUUAAGCAACAAAGGGUCUUGAUGGGAUUUUAACGGCGGUACAAGAAAAUAGAUCGAAGAAAAAGAAACAGCUAAACGGACAAAACCGAUUAUCUGCCGAUCGACCAUUUCUAGGUAAGUCGGCCAUGAAUCACUCAAACUUGACCACCUGUUUUUUUUUUUUGUUUUGCUUAUGCUCGUAGCCUAUAGAAUGUAGUGAUAUAGAACGCUACUCUUUCGUGUUUACAAAGAGCCCGCAAAACCAACCGAUUGCAAAUACAAUACCGCGAAUGAAAAAUAAAAUGCCUUGGUUGAAUGAUGGAUUUUUUGGAAACCCCUAGUUUGACCACGAAUAAGUUGCUGUAUAUU